AUGUUUUGGUCUCCCUUCAUAACGAAUAAAUCUUUCCCCUUUUACUAAAGAUUUCCGUAGAAGGGGACUCACGAGUCUGAAAAUUUAAUUAUUCUUAAUUAUUUUAGGUCGUAGGCAAAA